rnacentral:rRNA from 1 species
CAGCCGCCGCGGGAAUACGUAGGGUGCAAGCGUUAAUCGGAAUUACUGGGCGUAAAGCGUGCGCAGGCGGUUAUAUAAGACAGAUGUGAAAUCCCCGGGCUCAACCUGGGACCUGCAUUUGUGACUGUAUAGCUAGAGUACGGUAGAGGGGGAUGGAAUUCCGCGUGUAGCAGUGAAAUGCGUAGAUAUGCGGAGGAACACCGAUGGCGAAGGCAAUCCCCUGGACCUGUACUGACGCUCAUGCACGAAAGCGUGGGGAGCAAACAGGAUUAGAUACCCCAGUAGUCCCUGUCUCUUAUAC